CUUGGGUAUAGUGGUGCAUGCCUGUAAUCCCAGCUAUUUGGGAAGUUGAAGCAGGAAGAUCACUCGGGCCCAGGAGUUCAAGGCUAUAGUGUACUAUGAUCGCACCUGUGAAUAGCCACUGCACUCCAGCCUGGGCAACAUAGUGAGACCCUGCCUCUU
rnacentral:sRNA from 1 species